rnacentral:rRNA from 1 species
AACAGGAUUAGAUACCCUGGUAGUCCACGCCCUAAACGAUGCCUACUAGUUGUCGGGGAUUAAUUUCCUUGGUAACGCAGCUAACGCGUGAAGUAGACCGCCUGGGGAGUACGGUCGCAAGAUUAAAACUCAAAGGAAUUGACGGGGACCCGCACAAGCGGUGGAUGAUGUGGAUUAAUUCGAUGCAACGCGAAAAACCUUACCUACGCUUGACAUGUCUGGAAUCCCUUGGAGACUUGGGAGUGCUCGAAAGAGAGCCAGAACACAGGUGCUGCAUGGCUGUCGUCAGCUCGUGUCGUGAGAUGUUGGGUUAAGUCCCGCAACGAGCGCAACCCUUAUCAUUAGUUGCUACGAAAGGGCACUCUAAUGAGACUGCCGGUGACAAACCGGAGGAAGGUGGGGAUGACGUCAAGUCCUCAUGGCCCUUAUGCGUAGGGCUUCACACGUCAUACAAUGGUCGGUACAGAGGGUCGCCAACCCGCGAGGGGGAGCCAAUCCCACAAAACCGAUCGUAGUCCGGAUUGCAGUCUGCAACUCGACUGCAUGAAGUCGGAAUCGCUAGUAAUCGCGGAUCAGCAUGUCGCGGUGAAUACGUUCCCGGGUCUUGUACACACCGCCCGUCACACCAUGGGAGUGGGUUUUACCAGAAGUAGGUAGCUUAACCGCAAGGAGGGCGCUUACCACGGUAGGGCUCAUGACUGGGGGUGAAAUCGUAACAAGGUAACC